rnacentral:rRNA from 1 species
UACGGGGGGGGGCAAGCGUUGUUCGGAAUUACUGGGCGUAAAGGGCUCGUAGGUGGCCAACUAAGUCAGACGUGAAAUCCCUCGGCUUAACCGGGGAAGGGCGUCUGAUACUGGAUGGCUUGAGUUCGGGAGAGGGAUGCGGAAUUCCAGGUGUAGCGGUAGAAAUGCGUAGAUAUCUGGAGGAACACCGGUGGCGAAGGCGGCAUCCUGGACCGAAACUGACACUGAGGAGCGAAAGCCAGGGGAGCAAACGGG